rnacentral:rRNA from 1 species
GAUGAGCGCUAGCGGGAGGCCUAAUACAUGCAAGUCGAGCGGUAGAGUGACUUCGGUUGCUUGAGAGCGGCGCACGGGUGAGUAACGCGUACAUGACCUACCUUUAAGACUGGGAUAGCCCUGGGAAACUGGGAUUAAUACCGGAUGUGAUAAUACGUAUAGAGAUGUAUUAUUAAAGUUGAGGCGCUUAGAGAUGGAUGUGCGUCUGAUUAGCUAGUUGGUAGGGUAACGGCCUACCAAGGCGACGAUCAGUAGGGGCGUGAGAGCGUGGCCCCCACACGGGUACUGAGACACGGACCCGACUCCUACGGGAGGCAGCAGUGGGGAAUUUUGGACAAUGGGCGCAAGCCUGAUCCAGCCAUGCCGCGUGAGUGAAGAAGGCCUCGG